rnacentral:rRNA from 1 species
CCUACGGGUGGCUGCAGUAGGGAAUAUUGCUCAAUGGGGGAAACCCUGAAGCAGCAACGCCGCGUGGAGGAUGAAGGUGUUCGGAUUGUAAACUCCUUUUGUUAGAGAAGAUAAUGACGGUAUCUAACGAAUAAGCACCGGUUAACUCCGUGCCACCAACCGCGGUAAUACGGAGGGUGCAAGCGUUACUCGGAAUCACGGGGCGUAAAGCGCGCGUAGGCGGGAUAGCAAGUCAGAUGUGAAAUCCUAUGGCUUAACCAUAGAACUGCAUUUGAAACUGUUAGUCUAGAGUAUGGGAGAGGUAGGUGGAAUGCGUGGUGUAGGGGUGAAAUCCGUAGAGAUCGAGAGGAAUACUGAUUGCGAAGGCGACCUGCUAGAACAUAACUGACGCUGAUGCGCGAAAGCGUGGGGAGCGAACAGGAUUAGAUACCCUGGUAGUC